rnacentral:SRP_RNA from 1 species
GGGUGUGGUGGUGCACACCUGUAGUCCCAGCUACUUGGACGGCUGAGGCAGGAGGAUCACUUGAACCCAGGAGGUUGAGGCUGCAGUGAGCAGAGGUGGUGCCACUGCACUCCAGCCUGGGUGACAAAGUGAGACCCUGUCUCAA